AAGAGAAAGUGGUAAACUGAAAAGAGCUGCUAACUACUUUUCAAAGCGGUUAAACUCCGUUUUUCUCUUA
rnacentral:tRNA from 1 species